UACGUAGGGGCCUAGCGUUGUCCGGAUUUAUUGGGCGUAAAGAGCUCGUAGGCGGUUUGGUGAGUCGGGUGUGAAAUCUCCACGCUCAACGUGGAGGGGCCACCCGAUACUGCCAUGACUAGAGUCCGGUAGGGGAGUGUGGAAUUCCCGGUGUAGCGGUGAAAUGCGCAGAUAUCGGGAGGAACACCAGUAGCGAAGGCGACACCUCGUGGGCCGGUACUGACGCUGAGGAGCGAAAGCGUGGGGAGCAAACAGG
rnacentral:rRNA from 1 species